UACAGAGGUCUCAAGCGUUGUUCGGAUUCAUUGGGCGUAAAGGGUGCGUAGGCGGCGAGGCAAGUCAGGUGUGAAAUCCCAGGGCUUAACCCCGGAACUGCACUUGAUACUGCCUUGCUUGAGUGCUGGAGAGGAGACUGGAAUUUACGGUGUAGCAGUGAAAUGCGUAGAUAUCGUAAGGAAGACCAGUGGCGAAGGCGAGUCUCUGGACAGCUACUGACGCUGAGGCACGAAGGCCAGGGGAGCAAACGGG
rnacentral:rRNA from 1 species